rnacentral:rRNA from 1 species
GACGAACGCUGGCGGCGUGCCUAACACAUGCAAGUCGAACGGAGAUGAUGGGAUAGCUUGCUAUUUAAUCAUCUUAGUGGCGGACGGGUGAGUAACACGUGGGCAACCUGCCCCAAAGAGGGGGAUAACACCGAGAAAUCGGUGCUAAUACCGCAUAACAUUAGAGCUUCGCAUGGAGCUUUAAUCAAAGGAGCAAUCCGCUUUGGGAUGGGCCCGCGUCUGAUUAGCUAGUUGGUGAGGUAACGGCUCACCAAGGCGACGAUCAGUAGCCGAUCUGAGAGGAUGACCGGCCACACUGGAACUGAGACACGGUCCAGACUCCUACGGGAGGCAGCAGUGGGGAAUAUUGCACAAUGGGGGAAACCCUGAUGCAGCAACGCCGCGUGGAGGAAGAAGGUCUUCGGAUUGUAAACUCCUGUCUUCUGGGACGAAUAAUGACGGUACCAGAGGAGGAAGCCACGGCUAACUACGUGCCAGCAGCCGACGGUAAAACG